rnacentral:misc_RNA from 1 species
UACAGAGGGUGCAAGCGUUAAUCGGAAUUACUGGGCGUAAAGCGCGCGUAGGUGGUGGGUUAAGUUGGAUGUGAAAGCCCCGGGCUCAACCUGGGAACUGCAUCCAAAACUGGCCGACUAGAGUACAGUAGAGGGUGGUGGAAUUUCCUUUGUAGCGGUGAAAUGCGUAGAUAUAGGAAGGAACACCAGUGGCGCAGGCGACCACCUGGACUCAUACUGACUCUGAGGUGCGAAAGCUUGGGGAGCAAACUGG